rnacentral:rRNA from 1 species
CGGAACACGUACAGAACCUUCCUUUGAGGCGGGGAAUAGCCCAGAAGUAAAUUUGGAUUAACUACCCCAUAGUAUAAUGAAGUGGCAUCACUUUAUUAUUAAAGAUUUAUCACUCGAAGAUGGCUGUGCGGCUGAUUAGGUAGUUGGCGGGGUAAAGGCCCACCAAGCCUGCGAUCAGUAACUGGUGUGAGAGCACGACCAGUCACACGGGCACUGAGACACGGGCCCGACUCCUACGGGAGGCAGCAGUAAGGAAUAUUGGUCAAUGGAGGCAACUCUGAACCAGCCAUGCCGCGUGGAGGAUGAAGGUCCUCUGGAUUGUAAACUUCUUUUAUAUGGGACGAAAAAGGCUUUUCUAAGUCGUCUGACGGUACCAUAUGAAUAAGCACCGGCUAACUCCGUG